CUACAGGGGAAGUCGGUGAUCCUAUGCUGCCAAGAAAAUCUUCUAGCGAGGUUCGAGCCGCCCGUACCCCAAACCGACUCAGGUGGUUAGGUAGAGAAUACCAAGGCGAUCGAGUGAAUCGUGGUUAAGGAAUUCGGCAAAAUACCCCCGUAACUUCGGGAGAAGGGGGGCCCAGAGGGUGACGGGACUUGCUCCCCGAGCCUGAACGGCCGCAGAGACCAGGGAGAAGCGACUGUUUACUAAAAACACAGGUCCGUGCCAAGUCGCAAGACGAUGUAUACGGACUGACGCCUGCCCGGUGCUGGAACGUUAAGGGGACCGGUUAGCCUCACGGCGAAGCUGAGAACUUAAGCGCCAGUAAACGGCGGUGGUAACUAUAACCAUCCUAAGGUAGCGAAAUUCCUUGUCGGGUAAGUUCCGACCUGCACGAAUGGCGUAACGAUUUCUCCACUGUCUCAACCACGAACUCGGCGAAAUUGCACUACGAGUAAAGAUGCUCGUUACGCGCAGAAGGACGGAAAGACCCCGGGACCUUUACUACAGCUUGGUAUUGGUGUUCGGUACGGCUUGUGUAGGAUAGGUGGGAGACUGUGAAGCUGACACGCCAGUGUCGGUGGAGUCAACGUUGAAAUACCACUCUGGUCGUUCUGGAUAUCUAACCUAGGUCCGUGAUCCGGAUCAGGGACAGUGCCUGGUGGGUAGUUUAACUGGGGCGGUUGCCUCCUAAAAGGUAACGGAGGCGCCCAAAGGUUCCCUCAGCCUGGUUGGCAAUCAGGUUUUGAGUGUAAGUGCACAAGGGAGCUUGACUGUGAGACUGACAAGUCGAACAGGGACGAAAGUCGGGACUAGUGAUCCGGCGGUGGCUUGUGGAAGCGCCGUCGCUCAACGGAUAAAAGGUACCCCGGGGAUAACAGGCUGAUCUUGCCCAAGAGUCCAUAUCGACGGCAUGGUUUGGCACCUCGAUGUCGGCUCGUCGCAUCCUGGGGCUGGAGUAGGUCCCAAGGGUUGGGCUGUUCGCCCAUUAAAGCGGUACGCGAGCUGGGUUUAGAACGUCGUGAGACAGUUCGGUCCCUAUCCUCUGCGCGCGCAGGAAACUUGAGAAGGGCUGUCCCUUACGAGAGGACCGGGAUGGACGAACCUCUGGUGUGUCAGUUGUUCUGCCAAGAGCACCGCUGAUUAGCUACGUUCGGGAGUGAUAACCGCUGAAAGCAUCUAAGCGGGAAGCAUGCUUCAAGAUGAGGUUUCCAUGGGGUUUACCCCGAGAGGCUCCCAGCUAGACUACUGGGUUGAUAGGCCGGAUGUGGAAGUGCGGUAACGCAUGGAGCUGACCGGUACUAAUAAGCCGAUAACUUGGC
rnacentral:rRNA from 1 species